rnacentral:rRNA from 1 species
AGGAUGAACGCUGGCGGCGUGCUUAACACAUGCAAGUCGAACGAUGAAGGCUGGAGCUUGCUCUGGCUGGAUUAGUGGCGAACGGGUGAGUAACACGUGAGUAACCUGCCCCAGACUCUGGGAUAAGCGCUGGAAACGGCGUCUAAUACCUGAUACGAGCUUCCACCGCAUGGUGAGGAGCUGGAAAGAAUUUCGGUCUGGGAUGGACUCGCGGCCUAUCAGCUUGUUGGUGAGGUAAUGGCUCACCAAGGCGACGACGGGUAGCCGGCCUGAGAGGGUGACCGGCCACACUGGGACUGAGACACGGCCCAGACUCCUACGGGAGGCAGCAGUGGGGAAUAUUGCACAAUGGGCGCAAGCCUGAUGCAGCAAACGCCGCGUGAGGGACGAAAGGCCU